rnacentral:rRNA from 1 species
UCGAACGCUUCUUUUUCCACCGGAGCUUGCUCCACCGGAAAAAGAGGAGUGGCGAACGGGUGAGUAACACGUGGGUAACCUGCCCAUCAGAAGGGGAUAACACUUGGAAACAGGUGCUAAUACCGUAUAACAAUCAAAACCGCAUGGUUUUGAUUUGAAAGGCGCUUUCGGGUGUCGCUGAUGGAUGGACCCGCGGUGCAUUAGCUAGUUGGUGAGGUAACGGCUCACCAAGGCCACGAUGCAUAGCCGACCUGAGAGGGUGAUCGGCCACAUUGGGACUGAGACACGGCCCAAACUCCUACGGGAGGCAGCAGUAGGGAAUCUUCGGCAAUGGACGAAAGUCUGACCGAGCAACGCCGCGUGAGUGAAGAAGGUUUUCGGAUCGUAAAACUCUGUUGUUAGAGAAGAACAAGGAUGAGAGUAACUGUUCAUCCCUUGACGGUAUCUAACCAGAAAGCCACGGCUAACUACGUGCCAGCAGCCGCGGUAAUACGUAGGUGGCAAGCGUUGUCCGGAUUUAUUGGGCGUAAAGCGAGCGCAGGCGGUUUCUUAAGUCUGAUGUGAAAGCCCCCGGCUCAACCGGGGAGGGUCAUUGGAAACUGGGAGACUUGAGUGCAGAAGAGGAGAGUGGAAUUCCAUGUGUAGCGGUGAAAUGCGUAGAUAUAUGGAGGAACACCAGUGGCGAAGGCGGCUCUCUGGUCUGUAACUGACGCUGAGGCUCGAAAGCGUGGGGAGCAAACAGGAUUAGAUACCCUGGUAGUCCACGCCGUAAACGAUGAGUGCUAAGUGUUGGAGGGUUUCCGCCCUUCAGUGCUGCAGCUAACGCAUUAAGCACUCCGCCUGGGGAGUACGACCGCAAGGUUGAAACUCAAAGGAAUUGACGGGGGCCCGCACAAGCGGUGGAGCAUGUGGUUUAAUUCGAAGCAACGCGAAGAACCUUACCAGGUCUUGACAUCCUUUGACCACUCUAGAGAUAGAGCUUCCCCUUCGGGGGCAAAGUGACAGGUGG